rnacentral:rRNA from 1 species
GGGCCCGCACAAGCGGUGGAGUAUGUGGUUUAAUUCGAUGCAACGCGAAGAACCUUACCAGGGUUUGACAUCCUGCGAAUCUCUUGGAAACAGGAGAGUGCCUUCGGGAACGCAGUGACAGGUGGUGCAUGGCUGUCGUCAGCUCGUGUCGUGAGAUGUUGGGUUAAGUCCCGCAACGAGCGCAACCCACGUCUUUAGUUGCCAGCAUUUAGUUGGGCACUCUAGAGAGACUGCCGGUGAUAAACCGGAGGAAGGUGGGGACGACGUCAAGUCCUCAUGGCCCUUACGGGAUGGGCUACACACGUGCUACAAUGGCAGUGACAAUGGGUUAAUCCCCAAAAACUGUCUCAGUUCGGAUUGAGGUCUGAAACUCGACCUCAUGAAGUCGGAAUCGCUAGUAAUCGCGUAACAGCAUGACGCGGUGAAUA